AUUUCCUAUACCCGCGCAUUCUCGUCCAUUUGUUGACACUGCUGCCUGUGUAAAACAACAGUAAUUAUGUCUGAAUCACUGAUGAAUUUUUUAAUUGAAGUUUCUUCUUCUUCUGUCAAUAUCUUCAAAAAUACGACACAAGCGGUGAUGAUAAGAAUGAAAAGAGCAAAUGCAAUGAAUCCGCCGGCUACUAAUUUUUUCGAGAGACUGAGAAAAAUAGGAAUUAUUAUUGUACAAGUGUAGAAGAAUAGAUUAAUA
rnacentral:lncRNA from 1 species